rnacentral:hammerhead_ribozyme from 1 species
GUACUGAUGAAGAGUCCCAAAUUGGGACGAAACAGCUAUCCAGUAC